GCAAGUCGAGCGGCAGCGCGGGGGCAACCCUGGCGGCGAGCGGCGAACGGGUGAGUAAUACAUCGGAACGUGCCCAGUGGUGGGGGAUAGCCCGGCGAAAGCCGGAUUAAUACCGCAUACGACCUGAGGGUGAAAGGGGGGGAUCGCAAGACCUCUCGCCGUUGGAGCGGCCGAUGUCGGAUUAGCUAGUUGGUGGGGUAAAGGCUCACCAAGGCGACGAUCCGUAGCUGGUCUGAGAGGAUGAUCAGCCACACUGGGACUGAGACACGGCCCAGACUCCUACGGGAGGCAGCAGUGGGGAAUUUUGGACAAUGGGGGCAACCCUGAUCCAGCCAUUCCGCGUGAGUGAAGAAGGCCUUCGGGUUGUAAAGCUCUUUCGGCAGGAACGAAACGGUGGGCUCUAACACAGUCUGCUAAUGACGGUACCUGAAGAAGAAGCACCGGCUAACUACGUGCCAGCAGCCGCGGUAAUACGUAGGGUGCGAGCGUUAAUCGGAAUUACUGGGCGUAAAGCGUGCGCAGGCGGUUUUGUAAGACAGGUGUGAAAUCCCCGGGCUUAACCUGGGAACUGCGCUUGUGACUGCAAGACUAGAGUGUGGCAGAGGGGGUGGAAUUCCACGUGUAGCAGUGAAAUGCGUAGAGAUGUGAGGAACACCGAUGGCGAAGGCAGCCCCUGGGUUAACACUGACGCUCAUGCACGAAAGCGUGGGUAGCAAACAGGAUUAGUACCCUGUAGUCCACGCCCUAACGAUGCACUAGGGUUGGGAAGGAGACUCUAGUACGUAGCUAC
rnacentral:rRNA from 1 species